UUAGUAUUAAACUAAUAUAUCUCAUGAUUAUUUCUUAAUAUGGAAAUAUUUUGACUUGCAAAAUUUGUACCAAAGUUGUUCUGGGUCGCAAAUAGAUACCGCUAUUGUGUCAAAGUAAGUGUCAAAGUAAGUGGUCAGAGGAGGAACCAUCUUAUUACAAAACAUUGUGGAUGUAUCUUAAAUUUUGGU